CCACAUUCCACUGGUAAGAAGCAUAGGUUCGUCUUUUAAAAGAGAGGCAUGCGUUAGUGGAGGAAAUCUGAUUAAGAUUUACACAAACCAAUGUCAAGUUGUAAACGGAAAGAAGCAGUGUCCGGUUUACUGCAAUGGCAGAGGCACUUUCGACCAACAGACAAGAUUUGAGAUCUCGAAGUACAAAAGUAAGAAGUGUAUUCAAUUUGAUGACGGAAGCAUCAGAUAUUCGUUGAAAGUCAUAAAUGGGACGGACGUAAUUUUUGAGGAACAGUCAGCGUGCGAUACAACAACCAGCCACGACUUCCUAUUCAAAGAGGAGAAAAAUACCGCCGGAAAAUUUACAUACAAAUACACCUCGAGUACCAAUCAGGCGUUGUACCUCGGAGUUAGUGCCAACUGCUCUGAUGAAAAUCUAUAUUUUCUUUCCACAACUAAUCAAGACAAACGGUGUUUCAUGGAGAGAUGGUCUUGACUGUAUGUUGAUUUCACAAAGUUCUGAAUUU